CCUACGGGUGGCUGCAGUGGGGAAUAUUGGGCAAUGGGCGCAAGCCUGACCCAGCAACGCCGCGUGAAGGAAGAAGGCUUUCGGGUUGUAAACUUCUUUUAAGAGGGAAGAGCAGAAGACGGUACCUCUUGAAUAAGCCACGGCUAACUACGUGCCAGCAGCCGCGGUAAUACGUAGGUGGCAAGCGUUAUCCGGAUUUACUGGGUGUAAAGGGAGCGCAGGCGGCACGGCACGCCUGAUGUGAAAGCCCGCGGCCCAACCGCGGGACUGCAUUGGGAACUACCGGGCUGGAGUGCCGGAGAGGUAGGCGGAAUUCCUAGUGUAGCGGUGAAAUGCGUAGAUAUUAGGAGGAACACCAGUGGCGAAGGCGGCCUACGGGACGGUGACUGACGCUGAGGCUCGAAAGCGUGGGGAGCAAACAGGAUUAGAUACCCCAGUAGUC
rnacentral:rRNA from 1 species